UAGAUUUGAGGUUGGAAAAGGCACCCAAUACGCUACUAUAGAGUAGUUAAUAGAGAUGCAGGAUACGCCGCCCUGCCAAAUCUA
rfam:Clostridium difficile 630 complete genome